UCCCUCUGAAGUUUCGCUCAGGAUAGCUGGAGUACGUAAUGAAGCUGUUAUAUUCGGUAAGGCGAAUAAUCAGAGGAAUUGUGAGACGAAACGUGUUCAACCUAUUCUCAAACUUUCAAUGAGUAUGACGUCUUGCUUGCUUGAAUGAAGCGUA
rfam:Onchocerca flexuosa genome assembly, scaffold: OFLC_contig0003546